rnacentral:rRNA from 1 species
GUGGGGAAUAUUGGGCAAUGGGCGAAAGCCUGACCCAGCAACGCCGCGUGAAGGAAGAAGGUCUUCGGAUCGUAAACUUCUAUCCUUGGUGAAGAUAAUGACGGUAGCCGAGAAGGAAGCCCCGGCUAACUACGUGCCAGCAGCCGCGGUAAUACGUAGGGGGCAAGCGUUGUCCGGAAUGAUUGGGCGUAAAGGGCGCGUAGGCGGCCAUUUAAGUCUGGAGUGAAAGUCCUGUUUUUAAGGUGGGAAGUGCUUUGGAUACUGGAUGGCUUGAGUGCAGGAGAGGUUAUCGGAAUUCCCGGUGUAGCGGUGAAAUGCGUAGAGAUCGGGAGGAACACCAGUGGCGAAGGCGGGUAACUGGACUGCAACUGACGCUGAGGCGCGAAAGUGUGGGGAGCAAACAGGAUUAGAUACCCCAGUAGUCC